GUCGGUGCUCAAUCCGGGCGUGCCCCACCUCUUCCCAUUCCGAACAGAGAAGUGAAACCGCUUCGAUCCGAUGAUACUCAGGUCAUCCUGGGGAAAGUAGGAUGUGCCGACA
rnacentral:rRNA from 1 species